AAACUGUUGCUGUUAGAUAGGAGCUUUUAUAGUGAAUUAUCCCUCCUAUUAUUUCUGCUCUUUGCGAAUUCAAAAAACUUUAAAAUGAAAUAUCUGGUACUUCUUUUCGUCUUCGCUGUGGUUUUAACCAACACUUAUGGCAUAGGUCCCGCCCCUAACAUCUUUUCCAGUCAUCGUGGAUUUACCAUUGGUGACAACCAAAGUCCUGCUGACAUUUUUAGAUCUCUAGGAGAUUAUUUCCACCGACUCAGUGUAAUGAAUGCUAAUGGUGCUCUUGAUUUAUAUGGUCAUCCUGCUGGGCGUUAAAUAAAACAAAUUUUUAUGUGUUAAAAGUGUUACCUACUAAAAAAUUGUUUAAUGGCAAAUGAAUAAAAAUAUUUACGAUACAA